ACACAAUCCAGGAAAUUUGUUAGUGCAAGGGAGUACUACUGCUUCAAGCUGCAGGUCAGGAAGAAACUUUUAAACAUCAUCUUGUUCGGGGGGAGCCUUUUCCAACAGUGGGCUGUUGACAUGUAUAUUAAGAUUGAGUCUAUGAGGCUUGACUGGUAUUUGAAGCCAGAAAAUCAGAAGGUUAUACAAGCCGACCUCUACCAGGGUCUUGUUGAUACCGUUGUUGCUGGCGAGUCACGCGGUGAUCGGACUGGCAAAAGAAUCGUGCUUCCAUGUACAUUUCCUGGUGGUGAUCGCGACAUGCAGCGGAGAUUCCUGGAUACAAUGGCAAUUGUCCAGCGGUGGGGCAAACCAGAUUAUUUUAUUACGAUGACUUGCAAUCCCUAUUGGGUGGAGAUAACAGAGGAACUAUUGCCUGGACAACUGCCACAAGACCGUACAGACCUGGUGGCAAGAGUAUACAGAGCUAAACAACGACAUAUGAUGGACUUACUGACUAAGGGUAAGCAUUUCGGAGAAGUAGCAGCUUAUGUACAUGUC
rnacentral:rRNA from 1 species